rnacentral:rRNA from 1 species
UAAUACAGAGGGUGCAAGCGUUGUUCGGAAUUAUUGGGCGUAAAGCGCGUGUAGGCGGCCAUCUAAGUCUGGUGUGAAAUCCCUCGGCUCAACUGAGGAAGUGCAUUGGAUACUGGAUGGCUAGAGGAUGAGAGAGGAGAGUGGAAUUCCCGGUGUAGGGGUGAAAUCCGUAGAUAUCGGGAGGAACACCAGAGGCGAAGGCGGCUCUCUGGCUCAUUUCUGACGCUGAGACGCGAAAGCGUGGGGAGCAAACAGGAUUAGAUACCCUGGUAGUCCACGCCCUAAACGAUGGAUACUAGUCGUCGGAGUUCCUAAUCGCUCCGGUGACGAAGCUAACGCAUUAAGUAUCCCGCCUGGGAAGUACGGUCGCAAGAUUA